rnacentral:rRNA from 1 species
AACGAACGCUGGCGGCAUGCCUAACACAUGCAAGUCGAACGAGAUCUUCGGGUCUAGUGGCGCACGGGUGCGUAACGCGUGGGAAUCUGCCCUUUGGUUCGGAAUAACAGUUGGAAACGACUGCUAAUACCGGAUGAUGACGAAAGUCCAAAGAUUUAUCGCCAGAGGAUGAGCCCGCGUAGGAUUAGCUAGUUGGUGUGGAAAAGGCGAACCAAGGCGACGAUCCUUAGCUGGUCUGAGAGGAUGAAUGGCCACUGGGACUGAGACACGGCCCAGACUCCUACGGGAGGCAGCAGUGGGGAAUAUUGGACAAUGGGCGAAAGCCUGAUCCAGCAAUGCCGCGUGAGGGAUGAAGUAUUUCGGUAUGUAAACCUCUUUUGUUCCGCCGUCGAGGCGGGAAGAAUAAGCACCUACAAACUACGUGCCAGCCGCCGCAGUAA